rnacentral:rRNA from 1 species
CGCCCGGGCUUCGGCCUGGUUAUUCAUAACCCUUUGUUGUCCGACUCUGUUGCCUCCGGGGCGACCCUGCCUUCGGGCGGGGGCUCCGGGUGGACACUUCAAACUCUUGCGUAACUUUGCAGUCUGAGUAAACUUAAUUAAUAAAUUAAAACUUUUAACAACGGAUCUCUUGGUUCUGGCAUCGAUGAAGAACGCAGCGAAAUGCGAUAAGUAAUGUGAAUUGCAGAAUUCAGUGAAUCAUCGAAUCUUUGAACGCACAUUGCGCCCCCUGGUAUUCCGGGGGGCAUGCCUGUUCGAGCGUCAUUUCACCACUCAAGCCUCGCUUGGUAUUGGGCAACGCGGUCCGCCGCGUGCCUCAAAUCGUCCGGCUGGGUCUUCUGUCCCCUAAGCGUUGUGGAAACUAUUCGCUAAAGGGUGUUCGGGAGGCUACGCCGUAAAACAACCCCAUUUCUAAGGUUGACCUCGGAUCAGGUAGGGAUACCCGCUGAACUUAAGCAUAUCA